rnacentral:rRNA from 1 species
CAUUGCUGGAACGCGCUUCGGCGCACCCAGAAACCCUUUGUGAACUUAUACCUAUCUGUUGCCUCGGCGCAGGCCGGCUUCUUCACUGAAGCCCCCUGGAAACAGGGAGCAGCCCGCCGGCGGCCAACUAAACUCUUGUUUCUAUAGUGAAUCUCUGAGUAAAAAACAUAAAUGAAUCAAAACUUUCAACAACGGAUCUCUUGGUUCUGGCAUCGAUGAAGAACGCAGCGAAAUGCGAUAAGUAAUGUGAAUUGCAGAAUUCAGUGAAUCAUCGAAUCUUUGAACGCACAUUGCGCCCUCUGGUAUUCCGGAGGGCAUGCCUGUUCGAGCGUCAUUUCAACCCUCAAGCCUGGCUUGGUGAUGGGGCACUACUUCCUCACGGGAGUAGGCCCUGAAAUUCAGUGGCGAGCUCGCCAGGACCCCGAGCGUAGUAGUUAUAUCUCGCUUUGGAAGGNCCUGGCGGUGCCCUGCCGUUAAACCCCCAACUUCUGAAAAUUUGACCUCGGA